GGACAGGCAGGUUCUGCCCAUGUUACUUUGAUGUGGGCUUUGGACAGGCAGGUUCUGCCCAUGUUACUAUGAUGUGGGCUUUGGACAGGCAGGUUCUGUCCAUGUUACUUUGAUGUGGGCUUUGGACAGGCAGGUUCUGCCCAUGUUACUAUGAUGUGGGCUUGGGACAGGCAGGUUCUGUCCAUGUUACUUUGAUGUGGGCUUGGGACAGGCAGGUUCUGCCCAUGUUACUAUGAUGUGGGCUUGGGACAGGCACGACUGAUUCAUUUGUGUCACAGUCACACCAGGCAGACCACCCCUCUGUGGUGACUAUACAGUCACACCAGGCAGACCACCCCUCUGUGGUGACUAUACAGUCACACCAGGCAGACCACCCCUCUGUGGUGACUAUACAGUCA
ensembl:lncRNA